UAGGGAAUCUUCCACAAUGGACGCAAGUCUGAUGGAGCAACGCCGCGUGAGUGAAGAAGGUUUUCGGAUCGUAAAGCUCUGUUGUUGGUGAAGAAGGAUAGAGGUAGUAACUGGCCUUUAUUUGACGGUAAUCAACCAGAAAGUCACGGCUAACUACGUGCCAGCAGCCGCGGUAAUACGUAGGUGGCAAGCGUUGUCCGGAUUUAUUGGGCGUAAAGCGAGCGCAGGCGGAAGAAUAAGUCUGAUGUGAAAGCCCUCGGCUUAACCGAGGAAUUGCAUCGGAAACUGUUUUCUUGAGUGCAGAAGAGGAGAGUAGAACUCCAUGUGUAGCGGUGGAAUGCGUAGAUAUAUGGAAGAAUACCAGUGGCGAAGGCGGCUCUCUGGUCUGCAACUGACGCUGAGGCUCGAAAGCAUGGGUAGCGAACAGGAUUAGAUACCCUGGUAGUCCAUGCCGUAAAACGAUGAGUGCUAAGUGUUGGGAGGCUUCCGCCUCUCAGUGCUGCAGCUAACGCAUUAAGCACUCCGCCUGGGGGAGUACGACCGCAAGGUUGAAAC
rnacentral:rRNA from 1 species